UUGCAACGAAUUCAAUGGAAGGUGGGUUUUCAAAAGGAAAAAUAUCCGAUGAAAGUGAGUUGUGAACUGCAAUUAAUACGCCACCGCCCAGGGAUAUGCGGUCAGUUUAGCCAUGUUUCAGUUAAAGCAAUGACGUCGGCAUCGGUGGAAAGACUAUUAAAAUACACCUUACUCAGUUUACCCAGUAGGUUUCGCACAUUUUGGUAUAAAAUUGACAGAUUUGUUUUUCUUAGUUUUUUGAAACAGCUGAAUUUGAGCCACGAGGCUGGUUUUUCUAAAGAUACUCAGGUAAUAAAGUAUAAACUGGCCAAAGUGUAGAAUCAAGUGCCUUAGAGAAAUAGGAAUCAGUGAUACGAAUUAUUAAAGAAGAGAUAUUGCGCUUCUGCAGUUUCUCACAGAGGAAGAUAAUAACAUCCUCGUCAGUGGCUUCGGGAUAAAGUCUCGUCACGAAUAUUGAUUUUUGAAUAACCCCUCUCAGAGGAAUCCCAGAGACAUCAGAAGUCGUCUCGCUAUUCCUAGGACGGUUACUUCUCGGAACACCACUUAAAGGGACAGGUUUAAAUCCCCAACCCGGCCGUGAAGCCAGCUCCAGCACACUUAACAUGCGAACAGUUAUCACAUAACCAGCAGAUGAGGUCACUGUGCACAGAAAAAGAGAGGAGCGCGGGUGUAGUAUGUGCGCAUCCGUAUCUGCCUCGACCGUAAGCGAGAAAUGUUGGGCAACAGCUGCAAGCGCUUAACAGCAGCGGAGCAGAUAACACCGUAUAAACGUUAAAGCCGCAGCGGGGUGAAGAGCGGUCAGAUGUAAGCGUAGAACAUCAGAGAAGCAGCAGAGCAGAGAGCGUGUAAGCGUUGAAGAGCAGCAGCGGUACAGAGAGUGGUCGGAUAGGAAUCCCAGAGACAUCAGAAGUCGUCUCGCUAUUCCUAGGACGGUUACUUCUCGGAACACCACUUAAAGGGACAGGUUUAAAUCCCCAACCCGGCCGUGAAGCCAGCUCCAGCACACUUAACAUGCGAACAGUUAUCACAUAACCAGCAGAUGAGGUCACUGUGCACAGAAAAAGAGAGGAGCGCGGGUGUAGUAUGUGCGCAUCCGUAUCUGCCUCGACCGUAAGCGAGAAAUGUUGGGCAACAGCUGCAAGCGCUUAACAGCAGCGGAGCAGAUAACACCGUAUAAACGUUAAAGCCGCAGCGGGGUGAAGAGCGGUCAGAUGUAAGCGUAGAACAUCAGAGAAGCAGCAGAGCAGAGAGCGUGUAAGCGUUGAAGAGCAGCAGCGGUACAGAGAGUGGUCGGAUGUAAGCAUUGAGCAACCGAUCGAAACAAGAUAUAGUUUUUUUUAAUUUCAUUUUUACAAGAUUACUAUAGAACUUAAAACGUUUGUAGGUAGCGGCACAUAAUUCAGAGCGGCUUAUAUUCCGAUUAUGGUGUUGUUACACCUUGACGGGAUCUGCCGGGAAUCAUUUGGAGCAGUUUAAAAGCGGUUCCGGGUUAGAGUGCUGUUCUUAACCGCUCAGCACAGCAAUUGUCGCCGGGUUGUGGAUCCGCUACUCUAAAUGUAUUGGGCACGUUUCUUCCUCUAGACGGGGUAAAUUUAAAUAGCAGCUAUCCGACUGCAAGUGCGCAAAACUGAAUUUCGUUCAAGAAUGUCUGAACACGCCAAAAGGCCGACGAAGGGGUACUUCCAGCUGCAAGAAAUGCAGUGUCAUCUGCAUAGUUGGCCAGGAGUGUACCGCGAGCAACUGGGUUUGGAAGAUCCGACGUAUAAACUUUGUAGAGGACCGGUCCAAGGAAGCUUUCUUGCCGGACCCCACCGCGAAUAGGGCAUAGUUCAGAUCGAAGUCCGUGGAUUUCUAAAGCAAACUCUUUUUUUAUCCAAAAAUGACACAAUUAGCUUCCAAAAUCCCUCGGGCAAAAGUGGCAAUAGUUUGUAGAAAUGACCCUGUCAAAGGCCAGUAGAACAUCAAGAUAAACGGCUGAGCAGUAUUUGUGAUUUUCUAGAGCAACCAGACCAUGAUUAACAACUCUUUUCACUUGCUCAACACAACAAUCACGACAACAAAAGCCGAACUGGAUGUCUGGAAGUGCUUCGUCAAACGCGUUUAUAGCUAAUAGCCUGAAAGCCUUGGAAAAAAUGGAUAGGAGACUAAUCGGCCUAUAGGAUUCCGGGAAGCACAGUUCUUUUCCUUUUUUUAUACCAUUGUGACUAGAGCACUUUUCCAAGGGACUGAAAUAUGACCAAGGUCUAUGGAGGCAUUAAAGAGUGGACAGAGCUGUGGAAUGACUUAGCUGGGGUGGGCUUUUAUAUUAUAUUGUUGAACUUUGAUGCACUAUGAACAGUGCAAACAAGAGGGGCCCUGUUAGCAUAGUGGGCAGUUAUCGUGUUCGCGAGGAAAACACAAAUAACAUAAUGAAGAGACAUUUUUAAAAAAAUCUGAAACUAAGUACCGUUCAAAUAUGUUAAAACUAUAGUUUUUUUGUUCAUAUAGUCAAGUAUCCAAAUUAUGUUCGGUACUGCAUGUUUAGGAGCAGGGACCGAACAUAAUCAUUGUACAUUUUUUUAAUAAAAAAAAGCUUACAAAAAAUACUUAGAAAAAGUCGAAAUAUACUAAUAUAAUAUUUAUGUGUCAAAGGUUCAUAAUCAGGUUUGGUUUUUAUUUGUUCAACUUUUAUU